AGAGUUUGAUCCUGGCUCAGCCUGAACGCUGGCGGCGUGGCUAAGACAUGCAAGUCGAACGGGCCCGGCAGCAAUGCCGGGUCAGUGGCGGACGGGUGAGUAAUGUGUCGCUAACGUGCCCCGGGGUCGGGGAUAGCCGCCCGAAAGGGCGGGUAAUACCCGAUGACACGUCUGGAAGGCAUCUUCCGGACUUCAAAGGAGCAAUCCACCCCGGGAGCGGGCGACAUCGUAUCAGGUAGUUGGUGCGGGUAACGGCCCACCAAGCCGACGACGCGUAGCUGGUCUGAGAGGACGGCCAGCCACAUCGGGACUGAGACACUGCCCGGACUCCUACGGGGGGCUGCAGUAACGAAUCUUCCGCAAUGCACGAAAGUGUGACGGAGCGACGCCGCGUGUGGGACCAAGUCCUUCGGGAUGUAAACCACUGUCAGGGGCAGCCAAGUCCUGAGGCGCCCCAGAGGAAGGCACGGCUAACUCUGUGCCAGCAGCCGCGGUAAGACAGAGGUGCCGAGCGUUAGGCGGAAUCACUGGGCUUAAAGCGUGUGUAGGCGGACCCCUAAGCGCCAUUGUGAAAUCCCGCCGCUCAACGGCGGAACCGCGUGGCGGACUGGGGGUCUUGAGGGAUUCAGGGGCGAGCGGAACAGGCGGUGGAGCGGUGAAAUGCGUAGAUAUCGCCUGGAACGCCGACGGUGAAAACAGCUCGCUGGGAAUCUUCUGACGCUGAGACACGAAAGCCAGGGGAGCGAACGGGAUUAGAUACCCCAGUAGUCC
rnacentral:rRNA from 1 species